GCCAGCUAACCGUGGGUCAACGACUCAGCGUGCUACCCUUCCCAGCCAAAAAAAGAGAAACCCAAAUUCUCGUUCUCCUCCCGUUCCUUUUCACCGUUCCUUGCCCGAUCCAUAGAUUCAUCCACAUUCGUUGAUAGAUCCUGCCAAGGGAGGAGGACGGGGUGAGAAGGGGGAUUUGCGGCGGAGUGCGGUGGCUGCAUGCUCUCGGCGACGGCAGGUCCUCCAGCUCGACCACACGUGCCUGCUGCUCCCCGCCGCCGUCAAUUGGAUGGCCGUGGAGUUGGGCCCCUUUGAACCUGAGCGGUUCCUCUUCUCCAGAGAGUCCAUGGGUGGAGGCGUGUUGUGGGCUCGCUACUGCUGUCAGCUUCCACCUAUGUAAUGUGCUACAACUUUGCAUCAUUACUACUUGCUGCACACCGGCUGAUUCGUCACAGGUAUGCUUCCUCCCUGUAGUUUGAUAAAAAGGUGUAUUCUUUCUAUUUGUUGUUACCAUAUAGUAUUAGCAAGUUAUAUUAAUGAUAUGUGUCUUUAAGACAAAAGAAAAAGGCUUGCAUUUAUUAACUGAAUUUGGUCCAUAUGUGUUAAUUGAUAUGCAAUAGAGUUUUCACAUGUGUUGUAGGUGAUGCAUAUAACACUGGAGCUUUUUUCAUUGUUCUCCUCAACUGAAAAGGCUAGACAGAAGAGCUGUUACCAAGAACAUAAAACUCACUAAAGUGCAUGUCUGAAUUUAGUAGACCUUCCAUAGUAACCAUGAAUGUAAUUAGAAAAUGCAUGCAAGGAUUAAAUAUGCAAAUUGUACAUUGAUGACCUAUGGAAAAUAUCUGAACCCGAAUGGAUGAACUGAUGAUUUAGAACAGCUCUUACUAACCUUUCAAAUUUCAGAAUUUACGGGAAUCACUUGUCGCAUAUGUCAUCUUCUACAAAAAUACUCUACAGACAACAAAAUAGCUACUGUUACUUUAGGGCUACAAAAUAAUCUAUUAGACUCAUUUUGCAGCGAUAAGAAAUAGCAUAUAGCAUGUUGUACAGGGAAAAAAAUUGUGCAAUAGAAUUGUAGCGUUGCCUUUCACUUAUAUUAGACACUGAAAAACUAUAGUUAUUGUCAUAGAAACUUAGACUGAUUGGAACAUAUCUAGUAGAAUAUAGCCUUCAGGUGCAGAACUGAAACAACAUGCAACAGUACGAUUGUCUCUGACCACCCAGAUAAAUGUAUAAUAGUCCUUCCAUAGUAAACAUGAAUGUAAUUAGAAUUAUUAAAAAAAUGAAUGUAAUUAGAAAAUGCAUGCAGGGAUCAAAUAUGCAAAUUGUACAUUGGUGACCUAUGGAAAAUAUCUUAACUCAAAUGGAUGAACUGAUUACUGAGAUCAACUCUUACUUACCAUUCAAAUUUCAGAAUUAAUGGAAAUCACUUGAAUUUAUAAGGAUUCACACACAUAUCAUCUUCUAGGAAAAAUCUACACAUAAUACAAUAGCUUUUAUUACUUAAUGACUACAAAAAUAAUCUAUUAUGCUCAUUUUUCAACGAUAAGAGUUGCAUAUAGCAUCUUGUAUAUCAUAAAAAUUCUGCAAACAAUAGUAGUUGCUGUUACUAACACAUUGUAUAAUAUGUGAUCUGUUAUAUCCUGAAUUCAGGACCUUUACGCAUUAGUCCUAAGGAUAGCUUGUAUACAUAAAUUUAUCCUUUUUCAAACUGUAAAUCUAAUAUGCACAAUGAUCUGCUAAAAAUACCAUUGGAUAUACAUGUCUUUAUACAUUUUGUCAAACACUUGGCAAGCAUGUCCAAAUUUUAACUAACUGUUAGACAGAGGAGGGCGAGGAGUUGAUUAAAUCUAGAAAGAGGAUAGGGCCAUGUUUCAAACAAUUUUGUUAUUACGCCAAGUAAUACCUGCAUCUGGGGGUCGAUUUGGUUCUCUUUAUGCCACUUGUAAGUCACAUCCUUGGUGGUCAUCUUACUAUGCUUGUAGACCAUGCUGAUCUAUCCUCUUGCAGACAGUCCUACAUGCCUUGAUCGACCUGUGUAUGACACAACUCCAAGAUAGCACGAUAGUAUUCUUCCUUCUUUGCGACAUGAUUCUUGUCAAGUGUUUUCCUAUGGACAGGAACAGGAUGAUGAGACGCGACUGGUUGCUGCUCGGGAGGCGGAAUCUUCAACACCUAACCGAUUGAGGAGAAGAUCUUGUGGAGAGUGGACACAGAAGGCAUGGCUUCGAGGUUUUGGUGGCGCUGUAGGAUGUGAGCUGCAGCCACAGGACAGGAUGAAUAGUGUGGCCCUAGAGUAGACCAUCAGAAACCCUAGAACUCGGCUGCCCGAGAGGCAUAGUUUUGGGGUUUCGGUGGAUCUAUAGGAGGUGAGCUGCAGUUGCACAGGAGGAAUAGCUCGGCCCUAGGGCAGAUCAUCAUAAACCCUAAAACCUGGACUGCUCGAGAGGCAUAUGGCUUUGAGGUUUCGGUAGAACUGUAGGACGUAAACCUGGACAUCUCUUUUGUAUGCAACGUGUCAGGAUUUUUUUACCAUAUUGAUGCUCGUACGUGAACCUUUUUUUGAAGUGGCCCGUACGUGAACCUAACUCUUCCUACCUUUUUUU
rnacentral:rRNA from 1 species